GACGAACGCUGGCGGCGUGCUUAACACAUGCCAGUCGAACGGAAAGGCCCUGCUUUUGUGGGGUGCUCGAGUGGCGAACGGGUGAGUAACACGUGAGUAACCUGCCCUUGACUUUGGGAUAACUUCAGGAAACUGGGGCUAAUACCGGAUAGGAGCUCCUGCUGCAUGGUGGGGGUUGGAAAGUUUCGGCGGUUGGGGAUGGACUCGCGGCUUAUCAGCUUGUUGGUGGGGUAGUGGCUUACCAAGGCUUUGACGGGUAGCCGGCCUGAGAGGGCGACCGGCCACAUUGGGACUGAGAUACGGCCCAGACUCCUACGGGAGGCAGCAGUGGGGAAUAUUGCACAAUGGGCGGAAGCCUGAUGCAGCAACGCCGCGUGCGGGAUGACGGCCUUCGGGUUGUAAACCGCUUUCGCCUGUGACGAAGCGUGAGUGACGGUAAUGGGUAAAGAAGCACCAGCUAACUACGUG
rnacentral:rRNA from 1 species